CUACGAAGGGGGCUAGCGUUGUUCGGAAUUACUGGGCGUAAAGCGCACGUAGGCGGAUUGAUAAGUUAGGGGUGAAAUCCCGAGGCUCAACCUCGGAACUGCCUUUAAUACUGUUAGUCUCGAGUCCGGAAGAGGUGAGUGGAAUUCCUAGUGUAGAGGUGGAAUUCGUAGAUAUUAGGAAGAACACCAGUGGCGCAGGCGGCUCACUGGUCCGGUACUGACGCUGAGGUGCGAAAGCGUGGGGAGCAAACAGGAUUAGAAACCCUAGUAGUCC
rnacentral:rRNA from 1 species